rnacentral:piRNA from 1 species
UUCAAUACGGUGGGCAUGUGGUCUAGGAA